AUCUAAGCAUGAAGCCCCCCUCAAGAUGAGAUUUCCCAACUUCGGUUAUAAGAUCCCUCAAAGAUGAUGAGGUUAAUAGGUUCGAGGUGGAAGCGUGGUGACACGUGGAGCUGACGAAUACUAAUCGAUCGAAGACUUAAUCAAAA
rnacentral:rRNA from 1 species